UACGAAGGGAGUUAGCGUUGCUCGGAAUUACUGGGCGUAAAGCGCACGUAGGCGGCUUUCUAAGUCGGGGGUGAAAUCCUGGAGCUCAACUCCAGAACUGCCUUCGAUACUGGAAAGCUCGAGUCCGGGAGAGGUGAGUGGAACUGCGAGUGUAGAGGUGAAAUUCGUAGAUAUUCGCAAGAACACCAGUGGCGAAGGCGGCUCACUGGCCCGGUACUGACGCUGAGGUGCGAAAGCGUGGGGAGCAAACAGG
rnacentral:rRNA from 1 species